GGCAAAAGUCAGGUUGGGGCAAGUUGUCACAUGUGUUUUAUUUUAAUAUUAGUUCAUCACUUACCAUUUCAGUUUUUUAUAUUAUUUAUAUACAGUAUUUAUUACAUUUAAAAAAAUUAGUCCUUUAUUAUAUUUAAACAAACAUACUAAAUGUUAAAAUGAAAGCAGAGCAACAUUAUAAGACAGAUAUUCAAAUCAAUAAACAGCUGUGACAACUUACCCCGCUCAGAGUGACAACAUGCCCUGCUUUAAGCCUCAGCGUGUGUCCGGUGAUCUCGUCCAGAUCUCCAGGUUUGUUCACUGGAGGGAAAAGUGUGACAACAUCUCUGCCCCGCUCUUCAGACACUGAAGCUGUACUUACAGAAACCUCGUCCGGCAGCAGAUGUCCUCAGGUAAACAUGGUAAACGUCUGCGGUUUUACUCCUCCAGCGUUUAUAAAUCCACUGUGAGCGCAGUGCUCCAUCAGAACACACACACACUCGAGUGAUCUUGAGCUCCUCCAGCGCUGGACUGAGAUCAUGACGAGAAACAAUGGAGAUGAGGAUCCUGAGAGCAGCAGGAGUGAGACGUGAGCGCUGCGUCCUCCUCACUGACCCACACACACACACAGAGAGAGAGAGAGUACGAGCAGAAGUGAGAGAGCCAGACGAGGCGAGAUAACUAGCAGGUUAAUUACCCGUGUUGAGCUGAGUUAUUGUGUGCUGAGAUGAGAAGAGCCGAAUGUGUUUGAGCUUCAUCACGGCUGUCAUCCUCAUCCUCACACUGUGUGAGAGCAGAUAACAGAUUCAUCCUGACACACACACACACACACACACACACACUGAAGAUAACAGCAUCAGCAGAAUCAGGAGAGAAAUCUGCACAGAUCACGCAUCAAAUAUGUGUCUGGAUUUUGAUGUGAGAGACAACAGCAGAUGCACUUUUUCACUGGAGGAAGUGUUAUUAUGGAUUAUGGACUCUUGUUUUAGGUAAAAACGUCUUAAUGCUGGAUUUGUCUCAUCUUUUGUCUUCUCCAGAUGUUCACUGCUGGACUGGAGUGCUGUGGAUCACUGUGAUGUUCUUCUUCUUGAAGACUGUAAAUGCAGUGUGGUUUUGUGGCGUUUGUAAUCCAGGCCAUCCGGUGUCUCAGCGAUCAGGAACUCAAUCCGCUGGACAUCUGCCUGCAGCCGUAUUACAAGAGCAGCUGCUGCUUCAGUCGAACAGAGACACUGCACUCACAGAGAGAGUGUGUGUGAGAGAGAGAGAGUGUGUGUGUGUGUAUGUGUGUGUGUGUGAGAGAGAGUGUGUGUGUAAGAGAGAGAGAGUGAGAGAGAGAGAGUGUGUGUGUGUGUGUUUGUGUGUGUGUGUGUGUGUGUGUGUGUGUGUGUGUGUGUGAGAGAGAGAGAGAGAGUGUG
ensembl:lncRNA